UUGUUAGCAAGGUGCAGCUGCAGGGAAGCACCAGGGCUUGGCCUCUCCUGGCACACCAUGGCCUGGCACUGGCCAAAAGCACCCCUGGAGAAGCUGUCCCAUGGAAUCUGCCUGCAGUUAUUGCUCAGGGCCUCUCUGUUGGGCCAUGCAACAACUCCUGCCGUGAAAUUUCCUGCAACUCCAACAUAUUGCAGGGCAGCGGAGGGACAGGGAGGAGCUCUGUGCCUCGCUGAGCAGCUCGGAGGAACGGGAGCCAAAACCAGAGCCGAGCCAAAUGGCUCCUUUCUCUGCAACUCAUGACGAGCAAAUACUUUGAGGAAAGAACUAGGAAGAAUGGAACAUGAGGGAUGUCUGAUGAAUAGAUCCAGAAGAAGCUCUGGACUCAGCAGGGCCAUGGUUGCCCAUGGUACAUUGAAGACUAGCAGCACCAGAUCCAGGAUGCCAUGGGAGAUGUUCCCUUCUCCUCACUGCUCUUUUCUGUGCUGGUAGUGAAUGCUGGAAUUCUGGGAGAUGGUGAGGGCCAGGAAUGUGG